rnacentral:rRNA from 1 species
AACGAACGCUGGCGGCAUGCCUAACACAUGCAAGUCGAACGAGACCUUCGGGUCUAGUGGCGCACGGGUGCGUAACGCGUGGAGACCUGCCCUUAGGUUCGGAAUAACUCCCCGAAAGGGGUGCUAAUACCGGAUAAUGUCUUCGGACCAAAGAUUUAUCGCCUUUGGAUGGGCCCGCGUUGGAUUAGCUAGUUGGUAGGGUAAAAGCCUACCAAGGCGACGAUCCAUAGCUGGUCUGAGAGGAUGAUCAGCCACACUGGGACUGAGACACGGCCCAGACUCCUACGGGAGGCAGCAGUGGGGAAUAUUGGACAAUGGGCGAAAGCCUGAUCCAGCAAUGCCGCGUGAGUGAUGAAGGCCUUAGGGUUGUAAAGCUCUUUUACCCGGGAUGAUAAUGACAGUACCGGGAGAAUAAGCUCCGGCUAACUCCGUG